CGCAAGCCUGACGGAGCAACGCCGCGUGAGGGAUGAAGGCCUUUGGGCUGUAAACCUCUUUUCUCAAGAAAGAAGACCUGACGGUACUUGAGGAAUAAGCCACGGCUAAUUCCGUGCCAGCAGCCGCGGUAAUACGGGAGUGGCAAGCGUUAUCCGGAAUUAUUGGGCGUAAAGCGUCCGCAGGCGGCCGUUUAAGUCUGUUGUUAAAUCGUGGAGCUCAACUCCAUCACGGCAAUGGAAACUGUUCGGCUUGAGUAUGGUAGGGGCAGAGGGAAUUUCCGGUGUAGCGGUGAAAUGCGUAGAUAUCGGGAAGAACACCAGUGGCAAAAGCGCUCUGCUGGGCCAUUACUGACGCUCAUGGACGAAAGCCAGGGGAGCGAAAGGGAUUAGAUACCCCUGUAGUCCUGGCCGUAAACGAUGAACACUAGAUGUUGGGGGAAUCGACCCCUCCGGUGUCGUAGCUAACGCGUUAAGUGUUCCGCCUGGGGAGUACGCACGCAAGUGUGAAACUCAAAGGAAUUGACGGGGGCCCGCACAAGCGGUGGAGUAUGUGGUUUAAUUCGAUGCAACGCGAAGAACCUUACCAAGGCUUGACAUCCUGCGAAUCUCCAAGAAAUUGGAGAGUGCCUUCGGGAACGCAGUGACAGGUGGUGCAUGGCUGUCGUCAGCUCGCGUCGUGAGAUGUUGGGUUAAGUCCCGCAACGAGCGCAACCCACGUUUUUAGUUGCCAGCAUUCAGUUGGGCACUCUAGAAAGACUGCCGGUGACAAACCGGAGGAAGGUGUGGACGACGUCAAGUCAUCAUGCCCCUUACGCCUUGGGCUACACACGUACUACAAUGCUGCGGACAAAGAGUAGCGAUCUUGCGAAAGUUAGCUAAUCUCGUAAACCGUGGCUCAGUUCAGAUCGUAGGCUGCAACUCGCCUACGUGAAGGAGGAAUCGCUAGUAAUCGCAGGUCAGCAUACUGCGGUGAAUACGUUCCCGGGCCUUGUACACACCGCCCGUCACACCAUGGAAGUUGGCCAUGCCCGAAGUCGUUACUCUAACCUUUUGGAAGAGGGCGCCGAAGGCAGGGCUAAUGACUGGGGUGAAGUCGUAACAAGGUAGCCGUAGCGGAAGCUGCGGCUGGAUCACCUCCUAA
rnacentral:rRNA from 1 species